ACGGGCCGCUGCACUAAAUAAUUACAUUACAUUAGUAAUCAUUAAAAACAAAGAACAUUCUGUUUUUAUGGGCGCAUAAUGUGACAUCGCCGAUACCAAAUUCAAUUUAUAAAAAGAGUGGAUAUCAUUGAUCUUCUCUGCGAAAACGUUAGAUCCGACAAUGACAAAGAAAAAAAAAUACAUAAACGCGAAUAAUCAA